rnacentral:rRNA from 1 species
ACAACGUGUCGCGAUGGAUGACUUGGCUUCCUAUUUCGUUGAAGAACGCAGCAAAGUGCGAUWAAGUGGUAUCAUUGCAGAAUCAUUCAAUUACCGAAUCUUUGAACGCAAACGGCGCAUGGGAGAAGCUCUUUCGAGUCAUCCCCGUGCAUGCCAUAUUUCUCAGUGUCGAACA